rnacentral:rRNA from 1 species
GACGAACGCUGGCGGCGUGCUUAACACAUGCAAGUCGAACGAUGAACCUGGAGCUUGCUCUAGGGAAUUAGUGGCGAACGGGUGAGUAACACGUGAGUAACCUGCCCUUGACUCUGGGAUAACCUCCGGAAACGGAAGCUAAUACCGGAUACGACGUACGGAGGCAUCUCCUGUACGUGGAAAGAACUUCGGUCAAGGAUGGACUCGCGGCCUAUCAGGUAGUUGGUGAGGUAACGGCUCACCAAGCCUACGACGGGUAGCCGGCCUGAGAGGGUGACCGGCCACACUGGGACUGAGACACGGCCCAGACUCCUACGGGAGGCAGCAGUGGGGAAUAUUGCACAAUGGGCGCAAGCCUGAUGCAGCAACGCCGCGUGAGGGAUGACGGCCUUCGGGUUGUAAACCUCUUUUAGUAGGGAAGAAGCGAAAGUGACGGUACCUGCAGAAAAAGCACCGGCUAACUACGUGCCAGCAGCCGCGGUAAUACGUAGGGUGCGAGCGUUGUCCGGAAUUAUUGGGCGUAAAGAGCUCGUAGGCGGUCUGUCGCGUCUGCUGUGAAAACCCGAGGCUCAACCUCGGGCCUGCAGUGGGUACGGGCAGACUAGAGUGCGGUAGGGGAGAAUGGAAUUCCUGGUGUAGCGGUGGAAUGCGCAGAUAUCAGGAGGAACACCGAUGGCGAAGGCAGUCCUCUGGGCCGUAACUGACGCUGAGGAGCGAAAGCGUGGGGAGCGAACAGGAUUAGAUACCCUGGUAGUCCACGCCGUAAACGUUGGGCGCUAGAUGUGGGGACCAUUCCACGGUUUCCGUGUCGCAGCUAACGCAUUAAGCGCCCCGCCUGGGGAGUACGGCCGCAAGGCUA